rnacentral:rRNA from 1 species
GGUUUCUGUAGGUGACCUGCGGAAGGAUCAUUACCGAACUUGCAAGCAAAAAGCACAUUCGUGUACGUAAUGCAUGCCGAAGGGGAUAGGAGCUAGACUCUUACUCUGUUAGGCAAAACAAAAACCAGUGACAACGCAAAAACUUAACGUCGGGGUAUCUAUGCACCGGUUUAAUGAGCAACGGCCGCCUCAGACGUAAAGUACUCUUUUUUUAUCAUGUACAAAACUGUAACCAAGCAAAAAUGUUUUGUGUGACUUUCAGGCAACGGCACUGAUCGUCAACAUUACAUAAAAACGAGAUGAAAUCACUCUAAGCGGUGGAUCACUCGGCUCGUGUGUCGAUGAAGAGCGCAGCCAGGUGCGUGAAUUAAUGUGAAUUGCAGGACACAUUGAACAUCGAUAUCUUGAACGCACAUUGCGGCCCCGGGUCACUCCCGGAGCCACGCCUGUCUGAGGGUCGGCUGUAUAUCUAUCGCAACUGCAUGUACAUGAAACGUUGCGCCUUGGACCGUACACCUCCACGUUUGUUUACUUGAGAAACGAUACGAGGAGCGGUCUUAAAUACACAGUCGCAUCACCAUUCGUCAAAUAAACCGAGUAGUUCGGUAUUGAAAUCGUCCGUGAAAACGGGACGACCGAGACGCAGCUCGAACUGAUCAAUCAAGUGCGCUCGACUGUUCCCGAUGAACAUGUGGGCAUCAUGAUUAUUGGCGAUGUGACUGACGUAUAGAGAGAAAGACUCUAUCAUUAACUCCGACCUCAGAUCAGACGAGACUACCCGCUGAAUUUAAGCAUAUCACUAAGCGGAGGAAAAGAAACUAACAAGGAUUCCCCCAGUAACGGCGAGUGAAGCGGGAAGAGC